rnacentral:sRNA from 1 species
CGACCACAUUCGAAACCCUGCUCUUUUGAGCAGGGUUUUUUGCCUCUGAAGUUAAGAGGAUGAGAAUCUCCGGGGAAGGAGGUUCGACCCGAGCGAAGCGAGGGAACGUUGCUUUAGCAACGGCCCGAAGGGCGAGCCACGCAGUGGUGAGUCAUCCUCUCUCGCCGACCA